rnacentral:rRNA from 1 species
UGCAUGGCUGUCGUCAGCUCGUGUUGUGAAAUGUUGGGUUAAGUCCCGCAACGAGCGCAACCCUUAUCCUUUGUUGCCAGCGGUUCGGCCGGGAACUCAAAGGAGACUGCCAGUGAUAAACUGGAGGAAGGUGGGGAUGACGUCAAGUCAUCAUGGCCCUUACGAGUAGGGCUACACACGUGCUACAAUGGCAUAUACAAAGAGAAGCGACCUCGCGAGAGCAAGCGGACCUCAUAAAGUAUGUCGUAGUCCGGAUUGGAGUCUGCAACUCGACUCCAUGAAGUCGGAAUCGCUAGUAAUCGUAGAUCAGAAUGCUACGGUGAAUACGUUCCCGGGCCUUGUACACACCGCCCGUCACACCAUGGGAGUGGGUUGCAAAAGAAGUAGGUAGCUUAACCUUCGGGAGGGCGCUUACCACUUUGUGAUUCAUGACUGGGGUGAAGUCGUAACAGGGUAA